rnacentral:rRNA from 1 species
AGUGAGGGAUAUUGGGCAAUGGGGGAAACCCUGACCCAGCGACGCCGCGUGAGGGAAGACGGUCUUCGGAUUGUAAACCUCUGUCUUUGGGGACGAAAAAGGACGGUACCCAAGGAGGAAGCUCCGGCUAACUACGUGCCAGCAGCCGCGGUAAUACGUAGGGAGCGAGCGUUGUCCGGAAUUACUGGGUGUAAAGGGAGCGUAGGCGGGAAGGCAAGUUGGAUGUGAAAACUGUGGGCUCAACCGACAGACUGCAUUCAAAACUGUUUUUCUUGAGUGAAGUAGAGGCAAGCGGAAUUCCUAGUGUAGCGGUGAAAUGCGUAGAUAUUAGGAGGAACACCAGUGGCGAAGGCGGCUUGCUGGGCUUUUACUGACGCUGAGGCUCGAAAGUGUGGGGAGCAAACAGGAUUAGAUACCCUGGUAGUCCACACCGUAAACGAUGAUUACUAGGUGUGGGGGCGUCAAGCUUCCGUGCCGGAGUUAACACAAUAAGUAAUCCACCUGGGGAGUACGGCCGCAAGGUUGAAACUCAAAGGAAUUGACGGGGGCCCGCACAAGCAGUGGAGUAUGUGG